AAGUCAUCCUGUUGUCAAAUGUUUUCUCUUUCAUCGAUUAAACUUGUGGAACGGGUAAGUUUCGUUUCUUGAGUUUCUGUGAAAAUCUGGAAAAUUCUGUCACAUGCAAGGUAGCCCUGCUGAUGGCAUGCAUUCUUCAACCUUCUCUUCUCCUUUCUAACUUAAUUUUGGUCUGUUGGGUGGUCUUUUCUCACCAAUCGGUGAACUAUAGGUGUUCCUAGGAUUUCCGGUGUGAAAGCAAUUUGUGGAAAAGAUAAAUGUUGCUCUAUUCGGUCAAAGAGGUAAGGGAAACUAGUUAAUUUAAUUAUGAUUUACUAUGUAUGAAAGUAUUGUUUGAUAAUUCGACAUGUAUGUGAAAUUGAAUGAUUGUGUGUUCGACAUUGUUGGUGUGUGUUGUGUUCAUGUUGAAUGCCUUUCUGCAGAAUUCUGGUUCAUGUCCGAGUGAAUUGUGAGGAAGUGUGGCAGUGAAAAUGGGGAAUUGGUUUCAGGUGUGAGUGUGUUACAACCAAAGAAAAAUAAGAGAUGUUAUAGGUGCAGGAGUGAAAGUCACCUUGAGAGAGAUUGUCCUUUGGGUAGGAGAACAACUACUUAGAACCGUUCGGUUGGGAGAUUUCUGCCAAGAGGAGGUGACAGACCUUAAACUACAGGAAGAGUUUAUGCUUUGUCAGGUACAGAAGCGGCCGAUUCAAGUAAUCUUGUUGUUAGUAUUUGCGUGUUGUUUGGUAGAGUUUGUGUGGUAUUGUUAAUCAAUGGGUGACACAUUCUUUUGUGUCUGAAGCUCG
rnacentral:lncRNA from 1 species